rnacentral:misc_RNA from 1 species
GGAACACCUUGCCUCAUGAACUAUUCAAUCACCUUGAAACUCUAAUUCAUCAGCUAGAGGUGCUUUUUGCAUGUUCUGAGGUAUCGAAGAAAAGAUUGUUCUUGCAAUGAAAGCACCACUUUCUCUAUUUCCAGCUCCAUUUCAGAUCAUCGAGUGUAAUAGACGUCUCCCUCCUCCCUUCAUAGAUAUGAGGUCUGUGCACAUAUGUAGUAAUGUAGCUCCUCGCGCACAUUCUUCACAUAGAUGAAUUACAGUUCAUAAGAUGUCUGCUGCACUUCCUUCUCCAACAUUGAUGUCCCUUUGAAUUCCGUCAACGUGAAGUCUCUUGAAUACUCCUGAUAGCGUUCAUAAGUCAUCUUUCUGAAACCCAGUUUAUUUGUCCAGAUGGAUUUAGCCUCUUCAGCAGCUGGCACAACCAGGUUUUUAACAUGCAUCGAAGAUAAUAGAAUUUCAAUAGAUCCAAAUAACGCCUGG